UACGUAGGCAGCGAGCGUUGUUCGGAAUUACUGGGCGUAAAGAGCGCGUAGGCGGUCCGGUAAGUCCGCUCUGAAAGUCCGGGGCUCAACCCCGGGAGGCGGGCGGAUACUGUCGGGCUAGAGUCCGGAAGAGGCGAGUGGAAUUCCUGGUGUAGCGGUGAAAUGCGCAGAUAUCAGGAGGAACACCGAUGGCGAAGGCAGCUCGCUGGGACGGUACUGACGCUGAGGCGCGAAAGCGUGGGGAGCAAACAGG
rnacentral:rRNA from 1 species